GUGGUCUUGGACUGAGAAAGCUUGUGGAUUGGAAGAAUGCUGCAUAAAUGAAAUUAAUUUAAAUUUUGCAUUCUAGAUUUGCUAGGUUAAGUGCAAGUAACAAAAACUCUAACUAGCAAUUUUGGGAAUAUUAAACCUAGGAUUUCCAUUAUGUUAAUUGCAGAAGCAUACCGAAAUUGAGAUCUACAAUCCUCUCAUGCUUUACCAAAUUGGUGAUAAGUCUGAUACUGAGUUUUGGUUGGAUCAAUUGCCAGCUCAGGGGAUCCUAGUUGAUCAAAAUAGUUGACAACAGAUGGAUGAAUUUGCGAGAAUCGAUGGCAAAAUCUCUGAUUAUAUUCAUCAGGGCAAGUAGAUUACUAUGCAUCUACCCAUUUUGAUCCUUGGACAUAUAGGGUUUUAGAAUUUGUCAUCUUGAUAUAGUCCCCACUUAGCAACUUUAAGUACACCCUGAUUGGUUUACUUCUUGCUCCAAGGGAGAAAAAUAGAAGUGAAGCAGCUAAAAGUGAGAAUGCAUCUAUCAAAUGACACAAGUAUUGGGGGGGGACUUUAAUAAAAUUAACCAAAAAAAGUCAUCCGUACGUCCAAAAAAGAACGAGGUAGGCUCCAUGAAUGUGCCUCGACUGUGAUUUUCUUAAGGACCCAGCAGAAAAGAACUGGAAAUAACAUCAGUUCGAAGAGGAAAAGUGGCCAUAGGUUCCCAUGAAGGCAUGAUCUCCACUAACCUUCAACAUAACCAGACUCUUGCAUAGAAGUUGACUUUUAUCUGGAAAAAAAAAAAAGACUUGCUAGAGUUGGGGACAUGCCAGUUUUCCAAGGAGUGGAAC
rnacentral:lncRNA from 1 species